rnacentral:tRNA from 1 species
AUCUAUUUGGCAGAUUAGUGCACUAAGUUUAAGCCUUAGAAAUAAAAUUAUAUC